ACGACGACGCGCACUUUGGGUGCAUUUUAGUUUUAUGUGUCGUUUGCAUACGUGUGGGCGUGUGUGUGUGAGAGUCAUUGAUGGCAUUCCGUGUGUUCUAGCGGCAUAGAAUCAUCUCUCGUUUCUUUUUCUUCUUCACCUCCGCAUACACACACACACACACACGCACACACACACGCACAAGCAUACGUAUACGUACGCAUACAUACGCACCGGGGCACUCGGUGGGUUCCGACAGCGUUUUGACGAGCUGGUGAAGCUUAUCACCUCUUUUAUGGGGUGAGGUGUAGGGGUUAAUUUAUGAAUAUUGAGCGCGUAGACGACACCACAUUUCUCACUCCGCUCCCUCUUUCUUUCCCAACACUAACCACAAGCACCACGAAAGCCAACACCCUGUCUAACGAGCCUUCCCGCGCUACCGUUGAUAUUGGAGACCACGCACGCCGACUCUCACACAGAGGAAUCACUGCCAUGUUCACGUUGUUAUGUUGCGCAGACUUGGCGGGCAACAAGGUGAACCUCGAGAUCGCCCUAGAGACCUUUCCAGCCACGCUUCGGUGCCUGGAGAGUGACAUCGCUCGUAUUUUUAGCCGUGAGGUGGAGGAGUCGGGUACAGUAGAGCAUCGCACAAAUGUGGCGGAACCCUUUCAAGUAAUGAGUGUCGUCAUCUACGAUGACGUGCUGCUGCGCUGGACAAAGCUCAAAUCACUGGCACAACUGCACGAGUACGACCAGCUGUAUGUCUUUCAGCCGCAGACGCAGUGGCACGUGGACCUGCAGAAGGAGCUGCCACCCCCGCGGCCACCAGCGCGCAGUCGAGCAUCCUCCCUAACUGGGACCUCGGGCGCGUUGGCAUCGCUGCAUGUCAACGGCCGCGCGUCCUCUCCGUGGCCGAGGAGCGGUCUUAGCACUCGAGUUUCUGCCGCCGCGGAUGUCGAUACAUCGCAUUCACCUGUUCCGAGCCGGUCGCCGGCGCGAGCACAGUUGGAGGAGCAUCGCCGUGAGGAGGAGCGACUGGCGCACCGGUUGGCAACCCUGCGGAGGGAGCGGGAGCUCCUCGAGCGUGAGGCGCAGCGGGAGGAAGAGGAGGAGCGUCGCCGCCGCUCCCUCGAGACGUACCGGCUGCUGAAGUGCAAGGAGGAAGAAAUAUGGUCUCAGCGGGACGCAUUAGCGAGGGCGGAGGAGGAGUUCCGCCAAUUUCUGGCGGAGAAGCAGCGAUUGAUGGGGCAGUCCCCAACUCCCUGAGUGAGGGGAAGCCUCCGGAAAAUCACAUGCCUUCGCCGCGCUGGCGACUGCCCCUCACACCGGUGCACGUCAUACCUCUCAGCGCGUCGAGCGUCUAGUCCUCUUUUCGCGCUUCCCCUCCGUCACUGGAUGUUAAGGCCACUCUCUCCCCCCCCCCGUCGCCUUCCUCGCUAGACUGUAUAUCGCGAACGCACACAGAGAAACGCAACCGAAGAAAAUGAAAAUAACCUCGUCGAAUAUACACAAUGCCGGUUGGCACCCCGCAGAAGUGAUAGUGGCUCUCGUUUGGCGAAGCGCUUUGCCGGCAACUGGGCAGUACCGAGGCAUAUAGGCUCGUCGCGAAUUAGAAGGGCUUCUUCUAACACACGUCGCUAGCUCGCUCGCUCCCUCUCUCUGCCUGCAUGCUUGCAUAGGAUGCUUGUACUGGCACCCCUUUGCCGUGCGUCUCUACCGUUUGUUGGUGUAUUCAUGUAUGCUUGUUCUCUUCUGCGCUUCUUUCUGUCCUUUCAUCUGUAG
rnacentral:misc_RNA from 1 species